rnacentral:misc_RNA from 1 species
UACGGAGGGGGCUAGCGUUGUUCGGAUUUACUGGGCGUAAAGCGCACGUAGGCGGACUGGCCAGUCAGGGGUGAAAGGCCUGGGCUCAACCCGGGAACUGCCUUUGAUACUGCCAGUCUCGAGUCCGGGAGAGGUAAGCGGAAUUCCAAGUGUAGAGGUGAAAUUCGUAGAUAUUUGGAAGAACACCAGUGGCGAAGGCGGCUUACUGGACCGGUACUGACGCUGAGGUGCGAAAGCGUGGGGAGCGAACAGG